rnacentral:rRNA from 1 species
UUAGAUACCCUAUUAUUUUAAAUGUAAAUUAAAAAACUAAGUGAUUAAUAGUUAAGUUCUUUAAAGCUAAAUGAUUUGGCGGUAUUUUAUACUUUUCAGAGGAACCUGUUCUUUAAUUGAUACUCCACGAUUGAAUUAACUUAAAUUAGAAAUUUUUAUAUCGUUGUUAUUAAAUAUUUUUAUAGGAUUAAAUAUUUAAGAUUUCUUAAAAAAGAAAAAAAUCAGAUCAAGGUGAAGUUUAUAUUUAAGAUGAAAUGGGUUACAUUAAAUUAAAUUUAUGGAUUUAAAAUUUUUAAAGUUUAUUAAAAUUGGAUUUGAAAGUAAUUAGUUAUAC